GAUGAACGCUGGCGGCGUGCCUAAUACAUGCAAGUCGAGCGAACGGAUAAGGAGCUUGCUCCUUUGAAGUUAGCGGCGGACGGGUGAGUGACACGUGGGUAACCUACCUAUAAGACUGGAAUAACUUCGGGAAACCGGAGCUAAUGCCGGAUAACAUUUGGAACUGCAUGGUUCUAAAGUAAAAGAUGGUUUUGCUAUCACUUAUAGAUGGACCCGCGCCGUAUUAGCUAGUUGGUAAGGUAACGGCUUACCAAGGCAACGAUACGUAGCCGACCUGAGAGGGUGAUCGGCCACACUGGAACUGAGACACGGUCCAGACUCCUACGGGAGGCAGCAGUAGGGAAUCUUCCGCAAUGGACGAAAGUCUGACGGAGCAACGCCGCGUGAGUGAUGAAGGUUUUCGGAUCGUAAAACUCUGUUAUUAGGGAAGAACAAAUGUGUAAGUAGCUGUGCACAUCUUGACGGUACCUAAUCAGAAAGCCACGGCUAACUACGUGCCAGCCGCCGCAGUAA
rnacentral:rRNA from 1 species